rnacentral:rRNA from 1 species
CAUUCACGGAGAGUUUGAUCCUGGCUCAGGACGAACGCUGGCGGCGUGCUUAACACAUGCAAGUCGAACGAUGAAGCCUUUCGGGGUGGAUUAGUGGCGAACGGGUGAGUAACACGUGGGCAAUCUGCCCUUCACUCUGGGACAAGCCCUGGAAACGGGGUCUAAUACCGGAUAACACUCUGUCCCGCAUGGGACGGGGUUAAAAGCUCCGGCGGUGAAGGAUGAGCCCGCGGCCUAUCAGCUUGUUGGUGGGGUAAUGGCCUACCAAGGCGACGACGGGUAGCCGGCCUGAGAGGGCGACCGGCCACACUGGGACUGAGACACGGCCCAG